rnacentral:rRNA from 1 species
ACUUAAAUUGAAGAGUUUGAUCAUGGCUCAGAUUGAACGCUGGCGGCAGGCCUAACACAUGCAAGUCGAGCGGUAGCACAGAGAGCUUGCUCUCGGGUGACGAGCGGCGGACGGGUGAGUAAUGUCUGGGAAACUGCCUGGAUGGAGGGGGAUAACUACUGGAAACGGUAGCUAAUACCGCAUAAUGUCGCAAGACCAAAGUGGGGGACCUUCGGGCCUCAUGCCAUCAGAUGUGCCCAGAUGGGAUUAGCUAGUAGGUGGGGUAACGGCUCACCUAGGCGACGAUCCCUAGCUGGUCUGAGAGGAUGACCAGCCACACUGGAACUGAGACACGGUCCAGACUCCUACGGGAGGCAGCAGUGGGGAAUAUUGCACAAUGGGCGCAAGCCUGAUGCAGCCAUGCCGCGUGUGUGAAGAAGGCCU